UUGGAACCACCUGAUCCCUUCCCGAACUCAGAAGUGAAACGACGCAUCGCCGAUGGUAGUGUGGGGUCUCCCCAUGUGAGAGUAGGUCAUCGUCAAGC
rnacentral:rRNA from 1 species